rnacentral:rRNA from 1 species
AGAGUUUGAUCCUGGCUCAGGAUGAACGCUGGCGGCGUGCUUAACACAUGCAAGUCGAACGAUGAAGCCCUUCGGGGUGGAUUAGUGGCGAACGGGUGAGUAACACGUGGGCAAUCUGCCCUUCACUCUGGGACAAGCCCUGGAAACGGGGUCUAAUACCGGAUAACACUCUGUCCCGCAUGGGACGGGGUUGAAAGCUCCGGCGGUGAAGGAUGAGCCCGCGGCCUAUCAGCUUGUUGGUGGGGUGAUGGCCUACCAAGGCGACGACGGGUAGCCGGCCUGAGAGGGCGACCGGCCACACUGGGACUGAGACACGGCCCAGACUCCUACGGGAGGCAGCAGUGGGGAAUAUUGCACAAUGGGCGAAAGCCUGAUGCAGCGACGCCGCGUGAGGGAUGACGGCCUUCGGGUUGUAAACCUCUUUCAGCAGGGAAGAAGCGAAAGUGACGGUACCUGCAGAAGAAGCGCCGGCUAACUACGUGCCAGCAGCCGCGGUAAUACGUAGGGCGCAAGCGUUGUCCGGAAUUAUUGGGCGUAAAGAGCUCGUAGGCGGCUUGUUGCGUCGGUUGUGAAAGCCCGGGGCUUAACCCCGGGUCUGCAGUCGAUACGGGCAGGCUAGAGUGUGGUAGGGGAGAUCGGAAUUCCUGGUGUAGCGGUGAAAUGCGCAGAUAUCAGGAGGAACACCGGUGGCGAAGGCGGAUCUCUGGGCCAUUACUGACGCUGAGGAGCGAAAGCGUGGGGAGCGAACAGGAUUAGAUACCCUGGUAGUCCACGCCGUAAACGUUGGGAACUAGGUGUUGGCGACAUUCCACGUCGUCGGUGCCGCAGCUAACGCAUUAAGUUCCCCGCCUGGGGAGUACGGCCGCAAGGCUAAAACUCAAAGGAAUUGACGG